rnacentral:rRNA from 1 species
CAUAAUACAUGCAGUCGAGCGGAAGAUGGGAGCUUGCGCCCCGAUGUUGACGAGGGACGGACGAGUGACAUAAUGUCUGGGAAGCCGCCCGAAGGAGGGGGAUAACUACUGGAAACGGUAGCUAAUACCGCAUAACGUCGCAAGACCAAAGUGGGGGACCUCCGGGCCUCACACCAUCGGAUGUGCCCAGAUGGGAUUAGCUUGUAGGCGGGGUAACGGCCCACCUAGGCGACGAUCCCUAGCUGGUCUGAGAGGAUGACCAGCCACACUGGAACUGAGACACGGUCCAGACUCCUACGGGAGGCAGCAGUGGGGAAUAUUGCACAAUGGGCGCAAGCCUGAUGCAGCCAUGCCGCGUGUAUGAAGAAGGCCUUCGGGUUGUAAAGUACUUUCAGCGGGGAGGAAGGUGCUGAGGUUAAUAACCUCAGCAAUUGACGUUACCCGCAGAAGAAGCACCGGCUAACUCCGUGCCAGCAGCCGCGGUAAUACGGAGGGUGCAAGCGUUAAUCGGAAUUACUGGGCGUAAAGCGCACGCAGGCGGUCUGUUAAGUCAGAUGUGAAAUCCCCGGGCUUAACCUGGGAACUGCAUUUGAAACUGGCAGGCUUGAGUCUCGUAGAGGGGGGUAGAAUUCCAGGUGUAGCGGUGAAAUGCGUAGAGAUCUGGAGGAAUACCGGUGGCGAAGGCGGCCCCCUGGACGAAGACUGACGCUCAGGUGCGAAAGCGUGGGGA